GUUGGCUGUAAUAACCAGUUACGUCCAAAAACAAAAUUGGUUAUUGCAAUCAUUAUAAAUAUAAUUAUCAUAAUUUUUUAGUUGUUUACAAAUAGUAUCAUGAAUAUAAAAUGUAAACCAUUGGAAAUGGGUUUGAGUGAUGUAUAUUUUCAUUUCCUGAAAAAUUUUUAAAAAUGGACAUAACUGGUUAUUGCACUGGGGUCUUCAAUUUUUAAAUGUAUUAAAAAUUGUAUUAUUUAUUACAUAAUACAUAGUUUUAUUCUAAGGUAUAGUGCUAAAAAAAUAUUAAAUAUUAUAUUGUAAAGAUUUUGUCAUCAGUGAUGUCGACUGUAAGUAUUAUUGCGAUGAUUUUUGUUCACGUUGGUAUCACUGCUGGUUCAUCGGUAUAAUAUGUGGUUAAACAUUCUUAUCAUUUUUCUGACAACUACCCUGUACCCCUAUAUUUUGUGUAUUUCUAUUCGUCAAUACUCGGCCAAGUUUGAAGUUGUACAAGUGUCAAGUACUGAAGAAACCCACUCAUCAGCCAACAGACAGCAGUAGUGUUGCACUUUCAAUUCGCCCAUAUCUUUUUUACGUGCUGGUGCUCUACUGUUUAGUGUUUUGCUGUUGUGUAGUGUAGUAGUGUACUUCACUAUAUAACAUCUACUUAUUGCGAUUUAAUACAAUUAAAACUGCUUACAUCUAACUAUCUAAGCGUAUUACAAGCUCAAAUUUGUAAUACUUACAAUUAUUUGUAAUAAUUUUGAUAAUAUCAUAUUAAAUACCUUCAUUCAGUUCAAAAUGGUUAAACAAGAAAAUAUUUUUUUGUUUGUGCCAAAUUUAAUUGGAUAUGCCAGAAUAAUUCUAGCAGUCGUUUCGAUUUUUUUUAUGCCAACCAAUUACAAAAUUGCAUGCAGUUGUUAUUUGAUAAGUGCAUUAUUGGAUGCUUUUGAUGGUCAUGCAGCUCGAGUAUUUAAGCAAAGUACUAAGUUUGGAGCUAUACUGGAUCAACUAACUGACCGCUGUGGAACAAUGGCUUUAUGUAUUGCACUGUCAAAUUUUUAUCCAAAAUAUAUGUUCUUGUUUCAACUUAGUUGUAUCAUUGAUAUUGCUUGUCACUGGAUCUAUUUGCACUCAUCAAUUUUGCAAGGUAAAACUAGCCAUAAAUUUGUAGAUAUGACUGGAAAUCCGAUAAUGAAAUGGUAUUAUACAUCAAAACCCAUACUAUUUUUCAUGUGUGCAGGAAAUGAAUUAUUUUUUGCUUCAUUAUACCAUCUAUCAUUAUGGAUAGACUCCAUCCAUUAGAUUCUUUAUCACAUUCAAAAGUUCUUACUUCUUUGGCUACUCUAUCGUUUCCAAUUGUUGAAGAGCGUACAGUUACCAAACAAACUCGUACCAUUCUGGAAACCCGACUUGUCAAUACUCGUUUCCGUUCAUUACAAGAAUGCAUUGAUUUGUGCAAUAACAAAUUGAAACAAUUACAAGAAGCUGAAUAUGGUUCAGACUUACCUAGUGUUCAAGGGCUUUUGGAUAAACGAUUAUCUGAUCUUGAAACAUUACAAGACUUUUUGCAAUCGGCUAUACAAAUAUCAACUUGUUUGGCUCAAAGAAAAAGAAGAAAAUGAAUUAAAUCGUGAUCUAGUUUUAUAUAAAUGUACAAUGGGAAACAUAGGGACAACUUUGGUCAAAAACAGAGAUAGAGAAAGAGAGAGAGAGAGGUGAUUUAUGGACGUGUGUGUGUGAGUGUACAUUAUGUGUUUGCGAGUGUGUGAUGUGUGAGCGAAGAAAGAAAUCAAAAACCAGGUCACCAUCAUCAUUAUGCGCGUUUGAAGGAAAUGUGCGGCAUGCAAAAGAAACCAUCCAUGCGUGCUCUGAUCAUAUAGUCAUGCAGUGGCGUGCCGAACAUUUUUUAUAUCUGAGGCAAAACAAUUAUUAAGGACCCACCUACCCACAUAUAAUAAUAUCAAUAUUAAUAUAAUAAUAUAAUAAUAAUAUAAUAAUAUCACCUCAAUUAAUAUAGUUUGGGUUUUUUAUAAUAAACCUCCAACAGGUCAAAAAACCUGUUAAUUUCAUCCAUUUCUCUCUUGAGUCUACUUAAUAGAGGGUCAGCUGGAUCACCUUCUCUUAAAAACUUGAUUAAAUUUUCAUUUAAUUGCUUACGAAUAGCAAUACAAUUUUCAGCACCCAUGGUUAAAAACUAUAAAAACAAAAUAACGUUAAUCCAACUCAAAAAAUAAAAAUAUGUAUUUAUUACUUGAGCCAAAUCAUAUCCCUUGUCAUCUUUGAGAGUAGCAAAUAUCCCAUUAUGAGUAUACAACGAAAUCAAUAAAGAAACAGAAUCAUAAAGAUUGUCUAAACGUAGUGGGGGCUCUUGGCGCACCUCAAUGUCAGAUCUCUAUAAAAAAAAAAAUAAAUAACAAUAAUAAUAUGAACGUAAAAAAAAUAAUAAUAACGAAUAUAUCGAAAAUCGCGCCAUUACAAGUCGACGCGCGUAAUGCGUAUUAAAUGUCUACAUAAGGUUUCUUGCACUGCCGCAACUACACUAAUUCGGGCCCGUGCGUAAAUGAAAUUAUUGUUCACCCCUCAUGAAAAAUUAACUAAUUGUAAAAUUAAUUUUUCCAAAUUCGUAAACAUAGUUUGGAAUUUGAGUUUUUACUCAUAUAAAAUAAGGUUAACAUAAUUAGAACAUAAUUAUAGAGGAAUAUGAAAAUAAAUAAAUGUAAUAAUUUGUAGUCUAUUUUAUUCAUUUUAAAUUUAAAUAAAAAUUUUUCCUAUAAUGAAGCUUCGAGUUUUUUCUAUAGCUAUUAAAGGAAAACUUAUGGAAAACUUCGUAUUGAAUUUUUUAACCUUAGAUAUGAAUACAAAAAAUUUUAUUAAUUUUUAAUUAUAAAAUUACUUGCAAAUUUUUGCGAUUUUGACAUAUACCGUAAAAAUUUUAACUUAAAACAUAAAUAAAAAAAAAUUGUGACCGAUUUUUGGUUUUUUUUUAACUACAGUAAGAACGACUUAUAAGAAAGUUUGUAUUAAAUUUUAAAGUUUUUUUGAGAAACCAAAAUAGUUUUAUCGACGUUUCAAAAAAAAAUUCCAGUUGUCUAUAAAUAGCUAAAAAUAAGCCAUAAUAUUUUGAAAAUUAAACUGUAUAUAGAUAACACUAGCAUAAACACUUAGUGACGUCAAUGAUUCGUUAUUGAGUUACAAGAAUAUAAAAAAAUCAUUUUAAUCAUUGGGCCCGUGUGUUUAACACACGUAACACACUCGGUUAUUGCGGCACUGGUUUCUUGUCCCACCGGAGGCGGUUCGAAUUACCCAUAUUACACUGGUGCCAUAUACAUAAUUGUACAUAAAGUAAUAUAUUUUUUUACAGAGAAUAAUAAUAAUAAUAAAAAAAUAAGACAAUUAUUGUUAGGGUCAACAAUGCGCACACCCGCAGACAAAAACAAAAUACAAUUCGGUAUACGUGUUUUUUACGAUUCGACCGAGCCACCAGUCUUCUCCUUAAAUGGGCAGUAGGUCCGCUCUAGAGGCCGUUCACAACACAUUCUCGCCCAUGUCGUUUAUUAGUAGGACAAAUUAUGUGUAAUUUUAUUCUUUGAUUGAAAUUAUUAUCAUUUAACCGAAUAAUAACGUUAAGUAAAACAAAUUUUUACUCUUGAAGACGAUUCAAAGUCAAAACUUUGGUCAAAAACAGAGAUAUAGAGAAAGAGAGAGAGAGAGAUGAUUUAUGGACGUGUGUGUGUGAGUGUACAUUAUGUGUUUGCGAGUGUGUGAUGUGUGAGCGAAGAAAGAAAUCAAAAACCAGGUCACCAUCAUCAUUAUGCGCGUUUGAAGGAAAUGUGCGGCAUGCAAAAGAAACCAUCCAUGCGUGCUCUGAUCAUAUAGUCAUGUUAUUCUUCACUAUUACAGCAGCAGUCACAGGUGAUGUACAGAACACAACUGUACACGACACAAGAAAUAACAGCGAAAAACAUUACAUGUAGCCUAUGUUUGUCUCGUUCUGCGUUCUCGAUGCAAAUUUCAAUCGGCCAUGGAGAAAAUAUCGUAACUACCUACUUACGGGCCUAGAAGUUUGUCUUACAGACGUACGAAAUACAUUUUCAGUUGUGACUUACCUUUAUCGGUGCUGAUCGGUUCACUAUUAGCAUAUAUAUUACGACUAAAAAAAAAUAUGCCAUUAUCAUGAAUCCAAAACUCAACAGUCUAUCAAACAUUUUGUUUUUUGUUUUGAAUGUAUUAUAAUCGUCUUCAAUCUAUAUCAUAAUAAUAGUUAUUAAUUAUUAUUAUUUUCACUCGAAAACUUCUAUGAAACGUCUUACUUGUAUGACAGACGAUUGGUCCAUACUCUGCAUAUUACAAAUAAUUGAUAAAUGAAUUUGAUAUUUACUCGUGAAAAUCGGCCCGGUAGAACUUUAGAUAUAACUGUCACAAGAAAUCGCCUCACGUUUUAAUAAUAUAUAAAGAUAAUAAUUCAGGUUGCCAUGUUCCUAAUAUUUGUUAUUAGCCAGUUUGAGCAAUAAUAUUAUUAACAUAUUUUUUAAUGAGUGUAUAUUAUUUACAUAUACAUGUGCACUUUCAUAUUUAACAUCGAUAAAUGAUAAUGAGGUCUCGUUAUUCGUUAAUAAUUACUUAUUUACGUUAUAUAUAUAAUAUAUAUAUAUAUUAUUAUACUAUUACUAUUAACUUUCUAUGAACUAAAAUUAACUUACACACUAUUUAUCAUGAUAAGAAUCCUUGAUCAAAUCUAAUUGUUAUUUUAAAAUAUUUGAUUAUUUAUCAUUUUAAGUUCUACCCAUAUAACAUGAAUAUAAUAAAAUAGUUGAGGAUGUUCUUAUUAAAGUGUACUUGUCGUGUAUUGUAUAGCUUACGACCGACAAUAAUACAAAUUACGUGUAUAAUACAACAAAACGUAUGUUUAUCGUAAUAUUUUAAGUUUGAACUCCUUAAUCAAUAAAUUUUACUUAUAUCUUUAAGAAUAUAUUAUUGCUACUCGAUAACAUUUAGAACAUUGAAAUUAUUAGCAAAAUAAUAUGCUUUUUUCAAUUAAGACAAGAUCUAUCUGUAAAUCAUUUUUAUAAUUGCAUGCUCAAUAUUAGUUACUUUGUAUUAUAAUCAGACUAAGCAGUUUGGAAGAACUUAGAUGUUCUUUAUUGGUUGUAAACAACGGGUUUACGUAAUUUAAUAGACUACUGCUCGGUUGCAUGAAAACAGUUCCGUAAAUUGUUGGGCCGAUAAUAUAUUGAUAGUAUAAUAAUGGAAGUUAAAGAACAGAUUGCGUUUCAUGAAAGAUGUAUAAAUUGCAUCAAAUAAUCAGGUUAUAACCAAUUAUCAGGUAUUCAGUAGUACAAGGUUUUCCCCAUAGAUAUAUUAAUACGUCUAUGGUUUUUCCCAUUUGUUCUUGUCCGUGGCUUUGAUUUUUUCAAUUCUUUUUUUUUUGUCCGAGUGAUUUACGUUACAUUACAAUUUGUCUAUUGUAUUUUAUACUUUUUUACGUCAUUGAAUUGAUUUAAUUUACUUUUCUAUAGUAAUUUAUUGCAUUAAAUAAAUAAAUAAAUUAAAUAAAUAUUUUUUAUUGAUUUAAUUUAAAAAUAUUAUUUAUAUAAUUAAUAUGGAAGACGACAAAAAAAGGGGCAAGAACUUUUCUGAAACAGAAAAAUCAAUUUUAAUUGAUCUUAUUUUGCCAUACAAAAAUACUAUUGAAAAUAUCAAGAUCGAUGGCGCAACAAAUAAAGAAAAAGAUGCAGCAUGGAGUGAAAUUGCAAAUUCAUACAAUUGCCAACAAAUAACUGGCAUCAGAACCAUUCGCCAAUUGAAAUCUGUGUAUGAUGUUCAAAAAAGAAAGGCUCGAAAAGACAAAAGUGAUUAUAAGGUUGAACUUUAUAAAACUGGUGGUGGUCGUAAUUUAUCAAUGUUGUCAAGUACAACAGACAAAGUUAUUGGAAUCCUAGGUGAUCGUUUAGAACCUUUAUCUAACCAAUAUGAUUGUGAUUCUGACUAUCCAAUGCAGUUGUAAUAAAGUGUGGAAUGGCAGGAACAGGAUUCCGGGGUGAAAACUGGGCGAAUCACACUGGUGGUUUGUGUCCGAUGUCGUUAUCGCCCAGGUGCCCCACCAGUCGAGUUCAAACUGCCGCCCGCCGAUGCUGCACACCGAUUAGCCCGGAAACGCUUCACGGUGUAACGGACAUCCGUUCUACCGCCAUACUUAGCUGAAUCUGCGCCACAUCUGACUUGACCGGUCCAACGGUCCGGUCUCAAUGAAUAAGGGUUUUAUUCCCCUUAUACUGACCAUCUGUCAUUAAAUUUUUCGAUCUCGUGAACGAAUUCGUCUCUGUAGUCUCGGUGGUUCCACGACGUCACACAACCACAACCGCAGAUGGUCCUGAGAUCUGAAGACCCCGCGGAGACCUUUCCGGAAGGCCGACGAGAAUCGACUUUUUUACUCUCGCAAUGUCAUCGUCUUGUCCGUGUCAAUUAUAGCAGUUCCUGUGUCACUUUCCUCGACCGGCGACAACGUCUGUUCUUCCACGGGGCACACCACCGGCGGUACCAACUCAACAUUUUCCAUCUCGGGACCGAGACUUACAAUGUCAUUAGUUCGCGGAAGGCGCCGGCGUCAAUAUUGGCUCAUCUGGGCACACCACCGGAACUUUCAUCUACUAGAAAUAUAAAUCUAAAUUUCUAUUUCUAUAGAAAAUUAAAUGUAGGUAUAAGAAAACUUUUUUUGCAAAAAAUUGAUCUGAUACCUAGCAAAUAUGAAAUUAUGAACAGUAAGUGAAUUAAAAAUUGUCUCCAAGAUACACUUCUUAGAAUAUCACCUUGACCACAAUUCUGCAAAAUGACAUAAAAAAUACUAUGAACAACUAAUUAAUGUAUUUAAACUCUUAAAUAAAAACUACAGUUUUUAUAAUUUAA